CAAUGUUAUAUCUCUUGCAGAAUGGUAUCCAAUGCUUUGCAAAUAAGGAGGCCUCCCACAGAGCAUAGAAAGUGAGAACUGAACCUCCGUCGUCAGAAAGGUACACACUAAUUUUUUCUGCUGGGUAAUUGUAUGCCAUGAGCGAUAGGACGGUGGAGAUGACAAGACUUGGUGGCUCUGAGUGUGGAUCUGCGGUGCAUACGAAGAUAUCCACACAAGAAUGGCAGCCAGUGCUUUGCAAACAAGGAGGCCUCCCACAUGCCAUAGAAAGUGAGAAUCGAGCCGCCGUCGUCAGAAAGGUACACGCUUAAUUUCUCGGGCGGGUAGUUGUACGCCAUGAGCGAUAGGAUGGUGGAGACGACGAGGCUUGGCGGCUCCGAGUAGGGGUCCGCAGUGCACACAAAGAUGUCCACACACGGUAGCGUUUCUCCGUGCCUUGUCCAAAUGACAAAUUAACCGUGUUAGUGCUGAGCAUGACAAAUAGUAUAUGUUUGGAUGAUGAAAUAUAUGAAAACAGGUCCCUGGUUAGCUA